AUUGAACGCUGGCGGCAGGCCUAACACAUGCAAGUCGAGCGGCAGCGGGAAAGUAGCUUGCUACUUUUGCCGGCGAGCGGCGGACGGGUGAGUAAUGCCUGGGGAUCUGCCCAGUCGAGGGGGAUAACUACUGGAAACGGUAGCUAAUACCGCAUACGCCCUACGGGGGAAAGCAGGGGACCUUCGGGCCUUGCGCGAUUGGAUGAACCCAGGUGGGAUUAGCUAGUUGGUGAGGUAACGGCUCACCAAGGCGACGAUCCCUAGCUGGUCUGAGAGGAUGAUCAGCCACACUGGAACUGAGACACGGUCCAGACUCGUACGGGAGGCAGCAGUGGGGAAUAUUGCACAAUGGGGGAAACCCUGAUGCAGCCAUGCCGCGUGUGUGAAGAAGGCCUUCGGGUUGUAAAGCACUUUCAGCGAGGAGGAAAGGUUGGUAGCUAAUAACUGCCAGCUGUGACGUUGCUCGCAGAAGAAGCACCGGCUAACUCCGUGCCAGCAGCCUCCGUAAAAC
rnacentral:rRNA from 1 species